AUUGUCUUUUCUGACAGAACCUCUCCAAAUGAUGAUAGUCUCCUGAGGGCAUGAUCUAGGCAUCCCCCUUAUAGAGAGCUAGAUGGCACGCCGUUCUUCAAAAGGCCAUACCACCCACAUAUAACCAAAUGGGUUUACAAACAAGAGUCGUGAAUGUUUUUACUUACCGCAUUGUGGCCGAAGAACUCACAGUAGCAGCAGUCACAAAACUUCC